GCCCAUUUUCCUCUAACCCUACUCCUCCCCCUUUCUCUCAUUCAUUCUACCUCUCUCACACUACUUGAUCUCUCUCCGACUCUCACACACUCAUCUCUCUCUGCCUCUAUCACACUCACUCUCUCGAUCUCCCCGUCUCUCUCACACUUGAUAUCUCCAUCUUUCUCUCUGUUCCAAACUUCGACGGCGACACAGGGGGCUUGGCGACGACGGCUUAGGCGCAAACGAUGGUGCUAGGUGGUGGUGAUGGCAGCGGGUUUGGGGGACUCAGCAUCAAUGGGUGGUCGGUGGGUGAAUUUACAUAGGGCGGUGCGAUGGGGGCUCGGCUUGGGCCAGACUCUGUUUCUUCUAGUGGCACUCUGUUGAGCAAAUAUCACGAUGGAAACAAGAGCAUAAUGAAUCAUGGAUUGGAGGGUGGAGCUAUCUUCAAACUUUAAUUUCUUUGUGUAUUUGAUUAUGUUUUGUUGUUCACUUUUUAGGUAAAACGUGGGAAUGACUAGUAGUUUGUUAUGUCUUGUGUAUACUUCAAAAAAUUAGUUAGAACUAAGAAUCUGAAGAAGUGGCGAUAGUUAUGGUUUGAAUUAAAUAUUGUAACUUAAUUGAUUUAAUUAAUGUAUAAUGUUAUAAUACUCAGUUUGUGAGAUA